GCUCGAGGUAUCGUGGCUGGUCCGGCUGGUGCCAUCUGGCCUUAUCGGUUUAUCACUGGCGUUUUGGCUCAC